rnacentral:rRNA from 1 species
AGAGUUUGAUCAUGGCUCAGAACGUACGCUGGCGGCACGCCUAACACAUGCAAGUCGAACGAAGUAGCAAUACUUAGUGGCAGACGGGUGAGUAACAUGUAGGUAUCUGCCCUUUGGCCUGGAAUAACACGAGGAAACUUGUGCUAAUACCGGAUAAGUCUUUACGGAGAAAGCUUUAUGCACCAUUGGAUGAGCCUGCACUUGAUUAGUUUGUUGGUAGGGUAAUGGCCUACCAAGACUGUGAUCAAUAGCUGAUUUGAGAGGAUGAUCAGCCACAUUGGGACUGAGACACGGCCCAAACUCCUACGGGAGGCAGCAGUGGGGAAUCUUGCACAAUGGAGGAAACUCUGAUGCAGCGAUGCCGCGUGAGUGAAGAAGGCCUUUGGGUUGUAAAGCUCUUUCGUCGGGGAAGAAAAUGACUGUACCCGAAUAAGAAGGUCCGGCUAACUUCGUGCCAGCAGCCGCGGUAAUACGAAGGGACCUAGCGUAGUUCGGAAUUACUGGGCUUAAAGAGUUCGUAGGUGGUUGAAAUAGUUGGUGGUGAAAUCCCAGAGCUUAACUCUGGAACUGCCAUCAAAACUUUUCAGCUAGAGUAUGAUAGAGGAAAGCAGAAUUUCUAGUGUAGAGGUGAAAUUCGUAGAUAUUAGAAAGAAUACCAAAUGCGAAGGCAGCUUUCUGGAUCAUUACUGACACUGAGGAACGAAAGCAUGGGUAGCGAAGAGGAUUAGAUACCCUCGUAGUCCAUGCCGUAAACGAUGUGUGUUAGACGUUGGAAAUUUAUUUUCAGUGUCGCAGGGAAACCGAUAAACACACCGCCUGGGGAGUACGACCGCAAGGUUAAAACUCAAAUGAAUUGACGGGGACCCGCACAAGUAGUGGAGCAUGUGGUUUAAUUCGAAGAUACGCGCAGAACCUUACCAACACUUGACAUGUUCGUCGCGACUCUAAGAGAUUAGAGUUUUCGGUUCGGCCGGACGAAACACAGGUGCUGCAUGGCUGUCGUCAGCUCGUGUCGUGAGAUGUUGGGUUAAGUCCCGCAACGAGCGCAACCCUCACUUUUAGUUGCCAUCAUUAAGUUGGGCACUCUGAAAGAACUGCCAGUGAUAAGCUGGAGGAAGGUGGGGAUGACGUCAAGUCCUCAUGGCCCUUACGUGUUGGGCUACACACGUGCUACAAUGGUAUCUACAACAGGAAGCAAGACUGCGAAGUUAAGCAAAUCCCUAAAAGAUACCUCAGUUCGGAUUGCACUCUGCAACUCGAGUGCAUGAAGCUGGAAUUACUAGUAAUCGUGGAUCAGCGUGCCACGGUGAAUGCGUUCCCGGGUCUUGUACACACCGCCCGUCACACCAUGGGAGUUGGUUCUACCUUAAGGCAAGGUUUUAAACCCUUGACCACGGUAUAGUCAGCGACUGGGGUGAAGUCGUAACAAGGUA